rnacentral:tRNA from 1 species
UGUGGGAUCGUCUAAUAGUAGGACAAUGGGUUUUGGUCCCAUUAAUCUAGGUUCGAGUCCUAGUCCCACAG